CGCGGUGAAGGAGUUGGUGGCCGAGAGUGCCUGCUGCGCAGUCGACUUCAACUGGUCGGUGAGCUUCUGCAGGUUCGUGAUCCCGGUCGCCGCGGCC
rnacentral:tRNA from 1 species